UUUUAUGGAGAGUUUGAUCCUGGCUCAGGAUGAACGCUGGCGGCGUGCCUAAUACAUGCAAGUCGAGCGAACAGACGAGGAGCUUGCUCCUCUGACGUUAGCGGCGGACGGGUGAGUAACACGUGGAUAACCUACCUAUAAGACUGGGAUAACUUCGGGAAACCGGAGCUAAUACCGGAUAAUAUAUUGAACCGCAUGGUUCAAUAGUGAAAGACGGUUUUGCUGUCACUUAUAGAUGGAUCCGCGCCGCAUUAGCUAGUUGGUAAGGUAACGGCUUACCAAGGCAACGAUGCGUAGCCGACCUGAGAGGGUGAUCGGCCACACUGGAACUGAGACAAGGUCCAGACUCCUACGGGAGGCAGCAGUAGGGAAUCUUCCGCAA
rnacentral:rRNA from 1 species